GCUGUGAUAGCUCAGUCAGCAGAGUAUGAGAUUCUUAAUCUCAGAGUCGUGGGUUCGAGCCCCACACUGGGCA
rnacentral:tRNA from 1 species